rnacentral:rRNA from 1 species
UAGGGAAUAUUGCAAAAUGGGCGAAAGCCCGAUGCAGCAACGCCGCGUGGGCGAUGAAGGCCUUCGGGUCGUAAAGCCCUUUUUGAGGGGAUGAGGAAGGACAGUACCCUCAGAAUAAGCCUCGGCUAACUACGUGCCAGCAGCCGCGGUAAAACGUAGGAGGCGAGCGUUAUCCGGAUUUACUGGGCGUAAAGCGCGUGCAGGCGGAUUGGAGAGUUGGAUGUGAAAGCUCCCGGCUUAACUGGGGGAGGUCGUUCAAUACUUCCAGUCUUGAGUGCAGUAGAGGGAAGUGGAAUUCCUGGUGUAGUGGUGAAAUGCGUAGAUAUCCGGAGGAACACCAGUGUCGAAAGCGGCUUCCUGGACUGUAACUAACGCUCAGACGCGAAAGCUAGGGUAG